AUGGACGGCCAGGAUCGAUCCAGCGAGCAUGAGAUGCUUCGACUCCCUCCGCUGGAUCUCAAUUAUUGUCUCUGUGAUUUAGUAGCUAGUGCUUCAGCUUUGCUAUCGAUCUGUUGGCCGAUUACUGGAUGGAUGUAUCCAUCGUCUCUCUUUGUGUCCUUCUUAUUCCUCAUGUUUGGCACCUGUCACCCUCAUUCAUGUCUCUCUAAAUAUAAUUUCUUGCUCACCGGCCGAAAGUUGGUGGAAGAGUUGCACAUAUGCUUCUCCUCAUUGUCUCAUCAUUCUUCUCCCCCUCCCUUCCUUUGUGUGUGUGCGAAAGAAAGUGUGUGUGUAUAUGUAUGA
rnacentral:rRNA from 1 species